rnacentral:lncRNA from 1 species
GCGGCGAUUCGGAGUCGAAUUCGCCAUGACAGCGGCUUGGAAUUGUCCUUGCACUCGAGUCGGUCUUCGAGACUUCCAUUCGGGAGGUAUUCGUAAAUUAGGGCACACGAUUCAGGACAGGCUCCGAUGAGACUCACCAGGUUUGGGUGCCUCACCUUGCUCAGAAUUUCUACCUGCGCAUAUAUAUAUUUUUUGUCUAACAUUCUUAGCUAACCAUUAUUUGAAUUGACUAAUUUGAUAGCCACUAUCUUGUUGUCUCGUACCUCUUUAUUAAACUCGGAUGCCCCUUGCAAGCCAUUUGGGGUGAGUAAUUUGAUAGCAACUUGUGUAUAUUGGAGCUCAGCUCUGUAAAUGUUGCCGAAUCCGCCUUCUCCGAUCUUGACUGAUUCAUGGUAGUUGUUAGUCGCUUGUUCAAUAUCUGAUUUAGUGAACAACAAGGUUGCAGCUUCUGUCGAUGUUGAACUUGAUGCUUGCUCCGAUAUGCUCUUCUUCAGCUCCUCUGCUUCCUUCACCUCGUUAUCACGCUCUAUCUGUGUUUCAUCACGUUCUUUCUUGCACUUCUUCAGCACUUCUACGACAGAGAUGAUUUCCUGCUCCAAAUCCUUCACCUUAUGGGCUGUCUCUGCAAUUUGGUCCUGUAGCAGAAGCUUCUCUUCCAAGGCCUUGCCGAGUUCCCCUUUCCCUUUAUCUAAGGCCUCCUCUCUUUCUUUUCUCAGCUUCUGCUCUUCGGAAACAAGGUUCUCUAAUCCUUUUGCCUUCACAAAAUUGAAAGGUUAUUUUAGGUUUAGGAAUUCCAGAGCGCGAUGGGGUAGUAGGUUGACAAGAAGGAAGCAGUGGAGAAUGUUACCCUUUCUAUGGCCUCGGCAGCAACCUGUUCGGCUUUGGCUCGACGGAAUGCUUCGUCCAGCGCAUCUCUCUUCAAGCUUAUGAACUCUUCGAAGGCUUCUUUAUCAGCUGUGGCUUGUCUCAAUGCCUCAUCCAGUGAUUCCCUCUUUGGAAUUGGCUGAUUCCCCUUAGCUCGUUUUGGAUGGUCAGCAAGUGGUUCGUCAUGUGAGUUCAGCAGCUCCAUACUCAUCUGGCUUCCUUGCAACCUGAAAACGCCAUUAUUACUCACACUGCUUGAACUGGUAGUGAUCCUACCAGAAGAACACUGUGACAGGAUGUUGCUGUGUGGGCUUGAUUCAUGAUCAUUAAACUCGUUCGACACUUCUUCAGGAGUUGAUGGCACACGGAAGUAAUCAUCUAUGCUCGCUGUGGUGGACGCAGAUACACUUCUUCCUCGGUAGAAGUAACCAUGUACGAGGUCUAGGAAGUUGCUGCUCUGUCUAUGAACGGCUGACUGGGAUUUAGAAAGAGUAGUCGGUUUCUGCUCAUGUAAAUGGCUCAAGCUCAGUGGUUGACCGUAUGAUUCUAUGUAGUUGCUCAUGUCUGCGAUCCCUUCCCUGUUCCCACAUCAAUCAUGUUGUUCUGUUCAUUGAGUCAUUUUCAGAAACAACUAUAUGGAUUGUUGUCUAUUCAUUAAUUCGUUAAUUUGUUUGUACCUUACAUGGAUAAGACGACCUGUGCAGACGAAAUAGAUUCGACAAGCUACAGAAGCCUGGCAGUGGACUGAUAACGCCUUUCUGGACUUGAUCUGCAUCAUAUUCCUGCAUUUUGAACGGUGAGAAAUUAUACAGCAACUAAAUAUGAUGAGUGGUGCAUGCUUAUAAGUGGUUCUGCUCUUAUUUAUUCUACCUGGAAUAGCUUUUGUCAGAUGCCGCCCCCAUAACAAGUUGUCUAAUACCACAGUUAGAAAUGGUGUCCAGAAUUCCCUUCACAACUGAAUCGUUCUCAAUGAGCAACUUAUGAGCUUUGAACUGUGAGUCAACAAGCAAGGACAAAUCAAUUUUCGGUUUUGUCUGAAUAGCUAGCUAUAUGUAGGUGUUUAGAGGUGAGAUGAUUCAAUAGUGCAAGUGAGAUAAAAGAGUUUUGACAGUAUUGAUAUAUAGCACUGCAGGCUUACCCCCAUGCUGUUACAAAUGCAGAUGUAGUGAUCGAGUAUCUUAUGAGCUCCACCCCGUUCGAUCUCCUCGUCCUGAAUCCCAGAGCAUCCUCCAUUAGAAAGAGAUGGCGGUUGGUGAACGAGAAUGAGGCAGAUGUCGUCGGCGGCAGAAUGGUUGUGUAGUGCCCACAUCAACACAGACUUGCUGUCUUGAACAACCUUUCCAACUGCUACGUACACCUUUUGUCCAACUAGUGAUUUGCUCGACAU